UGGGGAAUUUUGGACAAUGGGGGAAACCCUGAUCCAGCCAUCCCGCGUGUGCGAUGAAGGCCUUCGGGUUGUAAAGCACUUUUGGCAGGAAAGAAACGUCAUGGGUUAAUACCCCGUGAAACUGACGGUACCUGCAGAAUAAGCACCGGCUAACUACGUGCCAGCAGCCGCGGUAAUACGUAGGGUGCAAGCGUUAAUCGGAAUUACUGGGCGUAAAGCGUGCGCAGGCGGUUCGGAAAGAAAGAUGUGAAAUCCCAGAGCUCAACUUUGGAACUGCCUUUAUAACUACCGGGCUAGAGUGUGUCAGAGGGAGGUGGAAUUCCGCGUGUAGCAGUGAAAUGCGUAGAUAUGCGGAGGAACACCGAUGGCGAAGGCAGCCUCCUGGGAUAACACUGACGCUCAUGCACGAAAGCGUGGGGAGCAAACAGG
rnacentral:rRNA from 1 species